GACGAACGCUGGCGGCGUGCUUAACACAUGCAAGUCGAACGGAAAGGCCCUGCUUUUGUGGGGUGCUCGAGUGGCGAACGGGUGAGUAACACGUGAGUAACCUGCCCUUGACUUUGGGAUAACUUCAGGAAACUGGGGCUAAUACCGGAUAGGAGCUCCUGCUGCAUGGUGGGGGUUGGAAAGUUUCGGCGGUUGGGGAUGGACUCGCGGCUUAUCAGCUUGUUGGUGGGGUAGUGGCUUACCAAGGCUUUGACGGGUAGCCGGCCUGAGAGGGUGGCCGGCCACAUUGGGACUGAGAUACGGCCCAGACUCCUACGGGAGGCAGCAGUGGGGAAUAUUGCACAAUGGGCGGAAGCCUGAUGCAGCAACGCCGCGUGCGGGAUGACGGCCUUCGGGUUGUAAACCGCUUUCGCCUGUGACGAAGCGUGAGUGACGGUAAUGGGUAAAGAAGCACCGGCUAACUACGUGCCAGCAGCCGCGGUGAUACGUAGGGUGCGAGCGUUGUCCGGAUUUAUUGGGCGUAAAGGGCUCGUAGGUGGUUGAUCGCGUCGGAAGUGUAAUCUUGGGGCUUAACCCUGAGCGUGCUUUCGAUACGGGUUGACUUGAGGAAGGUAGGGGAGAAUGGAAUUCCUGGUGGAGCGGUGGAAUGCGCAGAUAUCAGGAGGAACACCAGUGGCGAAGGCGGUUCUCUGGGCCUUUCCUGACGCUGAGGAGCGAAAGCGUGGGGAGCGAACAGGCUUAGAUACCCUGGUAGUCCACGCUGUAAACGGUGGGUACUAGGUGUGGGGUCCAUUCCACGGGUUCCGUGCCGUAGCUAACGCUUUAAGUACCCCGCCUGGGGAGUACGGCCGCAAGGCUAAAACUCAAAGGAAUUGACGGGGCCCCGCACAAGCGGCGGAGCAUGCGGAUUAAUUCGAUGCAACGCGUAGAACCUUACCUGGGUUUGACAUGGAUCGGGAGCGCUCAGUGAUGGGUGUGCCUCUUUUGGGGUCGGUUCACAGGUGGUGCAUGGCUGUCGUCAGCUCGUGUCGUGAGAUGUUGGGUUAAGUCCCGCAACGAGCGCAACCCUUGUUCACUGUUGCCAGCACGUUAUGGUGGGGACUCAGUGGAGACCGCCGGGGUCAACUCGGAGGGAGGUGGGGAUGACGUCAAGUCAUCAUGCCCCUUAUGUCCAGGGCUUCACGCAUGCUACAAUGGCUGGUACAGAGAGUGGCGAGCCUGUGAGGGUGAGCGAAUCUCGGAAAGCCGGUCUCAGUUCGGAUUGGGGUCUGCAACUCGACCUCAUGAAGUCGGAGUCGCUAGUAAUCGCAGAUCAGCAACGCUGCGGUGAAUACGUUCCCGGGGCU
rnacentral:rRNA from 1 species